GUGUCAGCAGCCGCGGUAGUACGUAGGGUGCAAGCGUUAAUCGGAAUUACUGGGCGUAGAGCGUGCGCAGGCGGCUUUGCAAGACAGAUGUGAAAUCCCCGGGCUCAACCUGGGAACUGCAUUUGUGACUGCAAGGCUAGAGUACGGUAGAGGGGGAUGGAAUUCCGCGUGUAGCAGUGAAAUGCGUAGAUAUCAGGAGGAACACCGAUGGCGAAGGCAGCUGCCUGGCCUAACACUGACGCUGAGGUGCGAAAGCGUGGGGAGCGAACGGGAUUAGAUACCCCGGUAGUCCACGCCGUAAACGAUGAGUGCUAGGUGUUCGGGGUAUCGACCCCCCGGGUGCCGCCGCUAACGCAGUAAGCACUCCGCCUGGGGAGUACGGCCGCAAGGUUGAA
rnacentral:rRNA from 1 species